rnacentral:rRNA from 1 species
AACGAACGCUGGCGGCAGGCUUAACACAUGCAAGUCGAGCGCCCCGCAAGGGGAGCGGCAGACGGGUGAGUAACGCGUGGGAAUCUACCCAUCUCUACGGAAUAACGCAUGGAAACGUGUGCUAAUACCGUAUACGUCCUUCGGGAGAAAGAUUUAUCGGAGAUGGAUGAGCCCGCGUUGGAUUAGCUAGUUGGUGGGGUAAAGGCCUACCAAGGCGACGAUCCAUAGCUGGUCUGAGAGGAUGAUCAGCCACACUGGGACUGAGACACGGCCCAGCCUCAAACGGGAGGCAGCAGAGGGGAAUAUUGGACAAUGGGCGCAAGCCUGAGCCAGCCAUGCCGCGUGAGUGAUGAAGGCCCUAGGGUUGUAAAGCUCUUUCACCGGUGAAGAUAAUGACGGUAACCGGAGAAGAAGCCCCGGCUAACUUCGUGCCAGCCGCCGCAGUAACAC